UUAGUUUUACCCUACUGGUGUGUGCUUAUAGUCGCUAUCUUAACGGAAUUCCUGUGCAGUACGAGAGGAACCACAGGUACGGACCACUGGCUCAAUACUAGUCCGACCGGACUUUGGUAUGACGCUACGUCCGCUGGAUUAUGCCUGAACGCCUCUAAGGUCGUAGCCAAUCCGAGCUGAUAGCGCUUCUCAAACCCAUUAGGUGUUCGGAAGCUAGCGGGCCUAACAACCCUCUGAGAUCCGUUGGAGUCUGCUUCUGCAGCCCGGCGUCUCAUCCCGCUAUACCUAGGCCGCAACGAGUGGAGUUCGCUGCACGUGUUAGUACCGUAACUGGGAACGCCGUUGGCUUGAGCUCUGCCCAACGUGGAUAUACCUAGUUUCGACACCUAUCAACCGCCCGCAAACGACGGGACUUCAGGCUGGGAGCUGCGAGUUGUAGAGAUGCGUUCGCAUCGAUCCUCUCAGGCGACCCAUGCUUGGUGGUUUGUC
rnacentral:ncRNA from 1 species